AUGCUGCUGGGUUCUGGCUGCCAGGAUCCAUCCGGGUCAUCCCGCAUCGUUUGGGCCGACGUGGUGUCCCGGAGGCCCCAGAGCGAGGCUCGAGGGAAAGUGGCGGCCCAAGGAAUGCCAAAGUAUGACCGAAUCUCGGGGGCAUCUCCAAAGGUCCAUCUCAGGAGUGAGGGCAAAAGGAUUGAGGCCACACCACCCCUCCGUCCUCAGCAGGAGAUGUUCCCAGAAGACAGAAGAGAGUUACUUCCACUAAGAUCCCGCUUACUUGAUCCACUGCUCCCCGCACCCCAAAAUUUAGCUUCUCCAGAGAAACGGGCCGUCAAAACCAUCUGGGUUGACCUGUGGCCCCUUCUGGAGAAGGUGGCAGAGCCCUUAGGUUCACGGCAGGGGGAAAUGUCAGAGAGGGUCCCCCAGGGAGGUGGAUGUUCUUCAUCCAACCGUGAGAGGUCUAGCGGAGAAGAUCUCGAGGAUCCGGGGGUAAGAGGCUUCCUUGGUGGAAGAAGAGAAGAUAUCACAGACGGAGCAGGAGAAGACCACAUUGAUGGGGGAAAUGGAGGCAUCACGGAUGGUAAACACCCUGUUGGUGGAAAACAUGAAGGUCCUAGGGGUCGAGGAGAAGAUCUCCAUGGUGGAAGAAGUCCCCACACUCUAAGGAGGACUUCCAUCCGUCCCAAGGCUGAAGUCCUUGUUAAGGACCCCUCUUGGCCUUCAAGGACGGACUCCCUCGAAACACCCAGCCUUGACCCAAAAAGCAUCAAGACCUCGGAAGAACCCCAGCCGUGGCUUCUGAGGAACUGCUCGCCGGCGGUGGUGACGCUUCAGCCCCGGCUCAGCUCUCCGGUUUUCCUCCCCAGGAUUCUCCCAAAACUCCCACUGCAGGCGGAAGCAGAGAGUUCUGCCGGACGACCGGCUGCUCCUUCCCCGGAUUUCCAUCUUCCCACUCGGCUCCUGCUGCGGAAGCUAGAGGAAACCACGACCAGCAAACACCAUCUUGUGAUCGUAAAAAUCCUGAGCGCUUUGCAUGAGGAACUCUCAACAAACCACCCAAACGCAAGAGAUCUCGGGGAGAAACUGAGUCCGUCCCUCGAACUUCCGCGGAUCCGGCCUCAGCAAAGCGGCCCAGCGGAUGGUGCGCAGGAAGCGCCAGGCACCUCUUUUUCUACGAGGAAAAAAUGCUUUCCUUGGAAGUUCCACAAGUCAAGCGACGGAGUAGACGUUCUCCAGUAG
rnacentral:lncRNA from 1 species